rfam:Wohlfahrtiimonas chitiniclastica SH04 genomic scaffold scaffold_00005, whole genome shotgun sequence.
GGAUUUCUGGAGCAUUCGUGUUCAAUAUGUCUAAGUCCCCUUGAUCCUAAGUAUAUAUCGAAGAUAUAUUACUAGAUGCCGGUGAGCAGGCUGAUCUUGAAUCAGAAGCCUAAGGCAUUUAAACUUAUAUCCAUUUGAACCGUUCGGUUCAAGGGUAUGACAUACUUAACGGUACUUUGGGAUCCAC